rnacentral:sRNA from 1 species
GCCAGGUAUGGUGGCGUACACCUGUAACCCCAGCUGCUUGGGAGGCUGAGGAAGGAGGGUCACAAGUUCAAGACCAGCCUGAGCAACUUGAUGAGAUCCUGUCUCAA